CAUGUAGGCGGUUGUUUAAGUCUGAUGUGAAAGCCCUGGGCUCAACCCAGGAAGUGCAUUGGAUACUGGAUAACUUGAGUACGGGAGAGGAAAGUGGAAUUUCGAGUGUAGGGGUGAAAUCCGUAGAUAUUCGAAGGAACACCAGUGGCGAAGGCGGCUUCCUGGACCGAUACUGACGCUGAGAUGACGAAAGCGGUGGGGAGCGAACA
rnacentral:rRNA from 1 species